rnacentral:lncRNA from 1 species
AUGUCCCAUUGCCAAGGAAACAACCAUCUCCUGGACAUGCGCUCUCUCCCAUCCAGUCUGACCUCUCCGAAUAUUCCGGAAACACCGUCGCAUGGAGCUUGCGACGGGGUAUGCAGGGGUAUGCAGGUGCCAGCUCUUGUCCUCCCGGCCGGGAGGAAGGGCAAGUUGCCCCAGAGCUUCCCCGGGCUUUGCGAGUCUAGGGGCGGGGGGCUACUGUGUACAUUUCAGCAGCGCGCGUCCAGGGAGCCCCUCCGGGCAUGUUGCUGGGGGUUCACUAGCGUUCUUCCAGAAUUGUGCAAUCUACUGUACAGUACUUGCCACAUAUUUGUACAUAGAUAUAUUCUCAAUUCGUGGGAUUUCUUGCUCAGAUACUCUGUGUUUUAUAGGACUAUUUUUAUAAUACUAGAGAGACCUUAUUUAAGUUUCCUUUUUAAAAAACCCGGUUCUGUGAUCCGUGUAACUGACACUUUAGGAAGUGCGAUUUCAGGAGGCAGUCUGCGGCGGCCCCCGGGCUGCUGCCUGCUGAAAGCAAAGCCACGGUCCUCUGCUAGCGCCCCGGAACUGUGCAGUCCGCAGCCCCCAGUGAUGGGUCAGCAGCCUGUCCCCCCUCUACUCACCAGAAUGGACUCAGGCUUCCUCUGCCCUCCCCCCGCCCCCAAUCAUUCCAGGCCACCCCACGUUCUUCAGCGCCCGUUCCUAAUUCCCAGGCUGAAACCAGCCGCAGCAGCUGGCCCAGCAACUGUCCCCACAAGUGAUGGGACAGUCCCUCUCCUGUCCACAAACGGGUGGGGCCCGAGAGAAGUGCAGGGCAAAGGCGCUCUGGCCGGCACAGCCCCCGAAACCCCUUCAGGCUCUUGCCGGCAGUCACUUGAGAGGGGCAGCCCGCUUCUCCAGGUCCACACACAACCCUCCCUGUUCUGUCACCCCUCUCCGCACACACGUGUCUCCCUGACCCCCCGCAACACAGCAGAACACCGCACUGUCCGCUGCCCUGGAGGCCACAGAAUGAGCCCAGGGGAUCCAAGCACGUUAACUGGAAGGGCCGCUCCGUUGGGGAGCAGAGCUGAGCAGGGCAGGUCUGUGUGUUUGCAGAGCCUCCUACCGUGUCCUGGCUCUUCCGCCAAGCGCUGCGGUCACAACUGGAAAGUAACAAGACGCGGCCGUUCUUCGCCCUGUCUCCAGCCCCGCUCCCGUGCACGCCUGUCCGGGCCACCUGUUCUUGGUGAAGUGACUCUGUCUGCAGGACCACAGGGAGGCCGUGCGUGCCACCACCACCGCCCCCCCCCGCUCCCUCUUCCUUGCCGUAUCCGGUGA